UCUAACCAUACGUGGUGUCACGCCCCGAACCCGCCUAUUUGGCCGGUUUCGGGCACGCCGACAGACCGUCGAACGGACAGGGUUUCCCCGGUACCGCGGACAGAGUCUCCCUUGUACAUUCAAGGCAUCGCAAUCAAUACAAUGUACAAAAUUCCAACCAGGAACACAUUUCAAUCAAAGAUUGCAUAAGGAAGUAUCAAAAACAUAAUUUACUUGCUAUUACUAGCAUUCACAUUCACUAGAUAUAUUUUACAUCAUAAUUACACAUUACAUUUAACUUCCAAAUACAAUCAAGCUUUUAUUACAAAUUAUUACAACUUGAUUCUUUUCAUUUUCUUACAUCA
rnacentral:lncRNA from 1 species